rnacentral:rRNA from 1 species
UUGGGAGUCAGAACAUGGGUGAUAAGGUCCGUGUUCGAAAGGGAAACAGCCCAGACCACCAGCUAAGGUCCCAAAAUAUAUGUUAAGUGGAAAAGGAUGUGGCGUUGCCCAGACAACUAGGAUGUUGGCUUAGAAGCAGCCAUCAUUUAAAGAGUGCGUAAUAGCUCACUAGUCGAGUGACACUGCGCCGAAAAUGUACCGGGGCUAAACAUAUUACCGAAGCUGUGGAUUGUCCUUUGGACAAUGGUAGGAGAGCGUUCUAAGGGCGUUGAAGCAUGAUCGUAAGGACAUGUGGAGCGCUUAGAAGUGAGAAUGCCGGUGUGAGUAGCGAAAGACGGGUGAGAAUCCCGUCCACCGAUUGACUAAGGUUUCCAGAGGAAGGCUCGUCCGCUCUGGGUUAGUCGGGUCCUAAGCUGAGGCCGACAGGCGUAGGCGAUGGAUAACAGGUUGAUAUUCCUGUACCACCUAUAAUCGUUUUAAUCGAUGGGGGGACGCAGUAGGAUAGGCGAAGCGUGCGAUUGGAUUGCACGUCUAAGCAGUAAGGCUGAGUAUUAGGCAAAUCCGGUACUCGUUAAGGCUGAGCUGUGAUGGGGAGAAGACAUUGAGUCUUCGAGUCGUUGAUUUCACACUGCCGAGAAAAGCCUCUAGAUAGAAAAUAGGUGCCCGUACCGCAAACCGACACAGGUAGUCAAGAUGAGAAUUCUAAGGUGAGCGAGCGAACUCUCGUUAAGGAACUCGGCAAAAUGACCCCGUAACUUCGGGAGAAGGGGUGCUCUUUAGGGUUAACGCCCAGAAGAGCCGCAGUGAAUAGGCCCAAGCGACUGUUUAUCAAAAACACAGGUCUCUGCUAAACCGUAAGGUGAUGUAUAGGGGCUGACGCCUGCCCGGUGCUGGAAGGUUAAGAGGAGUGGUUAGCUUCUGCGAAGCUACGAAUCGAAGCCCCAGUAAACGGCGGCCGUAACUAUAACGGUCCUAAGGUAGCGAAAUUCCUUGUCGGGUAAGUUCCGACCCGCACGAAAGGCGUAACGAUUUGGGCACUGUCUCAACGAGAGACUCGGUGAAAUCAUAGUACCUGUGAAGAUGCAGGUUACCCGCGACAGGACGGAAAGACCCCGUGGAGCUUUACUGUAGCCUGAUAUUGAAAUUCGGCACAGCUUGUACAGGAUAGGUAGGAGCCUUUGAAACGUGAGCGCUAGCUUACGUGGAGGCGCUGGUGGGAUACUACCCUAGCUGUGUUGGCUUUCUAACCCGCACCACUUAUCGUGGUGGGAGACAGUGUCA